UCGAAGAUGAUAUUGCUCUACUCAAAACUUAUGGUCUGGGACCUUAUUCGACCAGCAUAAAGAAAGCCGAAAAGGAAAUCAAGGAAAUGGCCAAAAAGAUAAAUAAUUUAUGCGGUAUUAAGGAGUCUGACACUGGGUUAGCUGCACCAAGUCAAUGGGAUCUGGUUUCUGAUAAACAGAUGAUGCAGGCGGAGCAACCUCUUCAGGUUGCCAGGUGUACAAAGAUAAUUAGCCCCAACACUGAAGAUGCAAAACACGUGAUAAACGUCAAGCAAAUUGCAAAGG